UAUAUUUUAGGUUCUGAAAUAGAUUAAUAGGGAAAGAGGUGUAAUUCCUCUACAGCCCCCGCUACUGUAAUGUUGACGAGUCUCUCGAGCUAUACCACUGUGAUAUAAAGUAUCAUGGGAAGGUGAGAGAUAGGAUGAUACUAAGUCAGGAGACCUGCCUAGGAUAUA
rnacentral:ncRNA from 1 species